rnacentral:rRNA from 1 species
GACGAACGCUGGCGGCGUGCUUAACACAUGCAAGUCGAGCGAUGAAAUUUCCUUCGGGAAAUGGAUUAGCGGCGGACGGGUGAGUAACACGUGGGUAACCUGCCUCAUAGAGGGGAAUAGCCUUUCGAAAGGAAGAUUAAUACCGCAUAAGAUUGUAGUACCGCAUGGUACAGCAAUUAAAGGAGCAAUCCGCUAUGAGAUGGACCCGCGUCGCAUUAGCUAGUUGGUGAGGUAACGGCUCACCAAGGCGACGAUGCGUAGCCGACCUGAGAGGGUGAUCGGCCACAUUGGGACUGAGACACGGCCCAGACU